GGGUAGGAAAAAGCCCCACACCAUUCAUGAUGUUAACAAUAGCAGCAUUAACAGUCAUUGGACUCCCACCGAGUGUGUUAUUCUUUAAAUUAGAACCCAUGAAUAUAAUGAGAUGGAUUUUCACAGGAACAAGGGCAGGCUGAAACAAAGAGAUAAAGAAACUGAGGCUCAAUGAACUUGUAACGCUUUAGUGUCAGAGCUCUAGAAUGGGUGAAGGCCAGAUUCAGACCCAGGCAUCGUGACUCCCAAGUCUGCUUGUGGAUCCUUGAAAGCAAGGGUGAGCCAUAAGCAUUGCACCUUUGAGAGAACUGCCUGCUCAACAUGAAGAUGAUGAGGAUGAAGGCCUUUAUGAUGAUCCACUUCCACUUAAUGAAGAGUCAAGGCUCAAUUGGAAUAAUCUGGAGAAGCUUUUCUACAAUGUCUACACUCCAGGGCCCACACCUGCCAAUGAAAUCUGUACCUUAAACCUGAAGAGGACCAGGUAUCAAUAUUCUUUGAAAAGCAGCCCAGAUGAUGCAGCUAGGUAGGUGUGGGAUUAACAGCACAGCCGGGAAGUUUCAAAUUGGAAGCACUUCAGAAACUGUCAUAUGCGAGAAAGAUGGUAUCUCAUUCAGACCGACCACCAUUUCCCAAAGAUUUCUCCCAGAUCACUACUUCCUCAAGAUGCCCAGAGAACAUAAUUCUGUGACCAAAUGCGUAUGAGAAAUGCUGCCAACUGCUGACUCCUAUCUUUGAGACUUAUCUACGUAGUGCUUUUAGUGCUUUUUUGUUAUGACCUUGGCUCACUGCAGCUUCACCCUCCUGGGCUCAAGCGAUCCUUCCACCUCAGCCCUUCAAGUAUCUGGGACUACAGACACCUGCCACCAUGUCUAGCUAAUUUUUGUAUUGUUUGUAGAGAUGGAGUUUCACCAUGUUGCCCAGGCUGGUCCUGGUCUGAAACUCCUGAACUCGAGUGAUUCUCCAGCCUCAGCCUCCCAAAGUGCUGAGAUGACAGGUGUGAGCCACUGUGUCUGGUCUGUAGUGCAUCUUAAUGUCUCUGAGAAAACCUGUGACCAAGAAAACUAUUACCUCGGCUUAAUCCAGUAAUUUUCCAGGAAAGCUGCUUUUUUAUUUCAUAGCACCUAACACCCUGUGGACCUCCAGAAAUGGUGAUUCACGAUGAGGAGGAAGAGUACUGAGCCCUGUCAAGGGCAGCAUUGGGUGAGGAGCCUCUCAAUUACAUGUUAGGAAGUGAAGACACCCAGACCUCGGAUUCCAAUUUUGAUGCUUCAGUUUUAAAAUGGUGGGGGGUGAGGGGCUGAUGGAGAAGAGUCUUUAUGGACACAAAUGGACCAGGGUGCUUUGACCUUUUGUUCUGUGGUCUCCUCACUUAUUAGGUCACAUAACCUUCAGUGGGCUACAUAAACCUCUUUUCUCAUCUUUAGCAGAACAAAAAUCUGUGGUCUGGGCUUAGGGGCCAGUUGGACUGGGCUUUGGUCAUUGAUUCGCGCUGGUCUUUGAAAUGUGAGUGGAAGGGACAGACAGGUGUUGAGUCCAAGCAGAAGCCUUCGAUGUUCUUGUGUGGCUUGGCUCUGCCUCUGUGCUUCUCCCUCCUCCUUGAGAACAAUAUGCCCCACAUGGGAGCUGCUCCUUUAGCCAGGCCUCCAGGACCAGAGGACAAAUGGGGCUGAGCACAACCAAGCCCAGCUGAGCCAGGUCAGGGUUCAAUGUAGCCUGAACAUGAAAUAAAUGUUUAUAAUUUUAAACCAGGAAAAUUUUGGUAUAGUUUAUUAUAACAAACUGCAAUCUAUAAACCUGAUUUGGGUCUGAUUUAAAGAAACCAAACAACCUCUAAAAAUUAGGAGGUAAACAGGAAAACUUGUACACUGACGUUAAGAAAUUGAUGUCAUUUUUUUUUACAAGAUGUUAUAGGACUGUUUCACUUGUGUUUAGGUAAAGAAUCCUUAUCUUCAGUGAUCCACGCUGAAAUACUUAUGCAUGAAACGGUAUAAUGGAAGGACAGGAAAGUGGGCAG
rnacentral:lncRNA from 1 species